ACGGAGGAUCCAAGCGUUAUCCGGAAUCAUUGGGUUUAAAGGGUCCGUAGGUGGUUUAUUAAGUCAGAGGUGAAAUCCCAUAGCUUAACUAUGGAACUGCCUUUGAUACUGAUAGACUUGAGUUAUUGUGAAGUAGUUAGAAUGUGUAGUGUAGCGGUGAAAUGCAUAGAUAUUACACAGAAUACCGAUUGCGAAGGCAGAUUACUAACAAUAUACUGACACUGAGGGACGAAAGCGUGGGUAGCGAACAGG
rnacentral:rRNA from 1 species